CAGAGGGAGAAUACCUGUUGCUUCUCCGUGCCCCAAGACCUCAGAUACUGAACUUCAGUGCUCCCCUCUCCAGCUGCCUCUACAAAAGGCAAGAAGCAGCUUGCUUCUUCCACCCCUCAAUAGGGGUAGAGAGCCAUGUCAUUUCUGUCAGUUGGACCUGGUCCAGAGGUUGGAUGCAGCAUGGUCUUUCUAAGACAGAGACAGCUUGGCAGCGUGACCUUGGGGUCUUGCCUAUCUCUUUCCAGCUCAUUGACCUGGAGCAAGUUGGAAUGGAAGCUCCAGAGGAGAGAGUAAGGAUGUUGCCAGUAAGCACCUGGCGCCCAGCCUUCCACAGGCUAUAAAAUAAAAGCAGACAAAGACUUCACUGACCCUUAUGAUCACUCUGUUACCAGCCCCAUUUUAUAGAUGAAGAAACUGAGGCCGUCACCUGCCCCAAGCCAGGUCACCUGGAGUUGUACAGGCAACUUUCUGCUACUAUGAUGUUCACAAGUGACAGAAGGACUAUCUUAACCAACCUGAAAUAAACCAGGUUCCUCUUCCUGUC
rnacentral:lncRNA from 1 species